rnacentral:rRNA from 1 species
UACGGAGGGGGUUAGCGUUGUUCGGAAUUACUGGGCGUAAAGCGUGCGUAGGCGGACCAGAAAGUUGGGGGUGAAAUCCUGGGGCUCAACCCCGGAACGGCCUCCAAAACUCCUGGUCUUGAGUUCGAGAGAGGUGAGUGGAAUUCCGAGUGUAGAGGUGAAAUUCGUAGAUAUUCGGAGGAACACCAGUGGCGAAGGCGGCUCACUGGCUCGAUACUGACGCUGAGGUGCGAAAGUGUGGGGAGCAAACAGG